GAUGAACGCUAGCGGCAGGCUUAAUACAUGCAAGUCGAGCGGGGCUACGAGUACGUUCGGAUUGUUAAGCUUAGCGGCGAACGGGUGAGUAACACGUAGGUAAUCUACCCUUCAGAGGAGGACAACCUCAGGAAACUGAGGCUAAACCUUCAUACGUUCACUGGUAGGGAUACUGGUGAAGAAAGAGUUACCGUUGAGGUGGCUGCUGAAGGAUGAGCCUGCGGCCCAUCAGGUAGUUGGUGAGGUAACGGCUCACCAAGCCGAAGACGGGUAACCGGUCUGAGAGGAUGUCCGGUCACACUGGGACUGAGACACGGCCCAGACUCCUACGGGAGGCAGCAGCAGGGAAUCUUGGGCAAUGGGCGAAAGCCUGACCCAGCCAUGCCGCGUGAAGGAAGACGGCCUUAUGGGUUGUAAACUUCUUUACUACGCGAAUAGAGGUUAGUACGAGAUACUAAUAGGAAGGUAGUGUAGUAAAAGCACCGGCUAACUCCGUGCCAGCAGCCGCGGUAAAGCUAACG
rnacentral:rRNA from 1 species